GUUCUUGUAGUUGAAUUACAACGAUGGUUCUUCAAAUCAUUGGUCUUAGUUAGAAUCUGAGCAAGAAUU
rnacentral:tRNA from 1 species